rnacentral:rRNA from 1 species
CCUACGGGAGGCAGCAGUGGGGAAUUUUGGACAAUGGGCGCAAGCCUGAUCCAGCCAUGCCGCGUGUGUGAAGAAGGCCUUCGGGUUGUAAAGCACUUUCGGCCGGAACGAAAUCGCGCGGGCUAUUACCCCGCGUGGAUGACGGUACCGGAAGAAGAAGCACCGGCUAACUACGUGCCAGCAGCCGCGGUAAUACGUAGGGUGCGAGCGUUAAUCGGAAUUACUGGGCGUAAAGGGUGCGCAGGCGGCGUCGCAGGUCAGGCGUGAAAUCCCCGGGCUUAACCUGGGAAUUGCACUUGAAACUACGAUGCUGGAGUAUGGCAGAGGGAGGUGGAAUUCCACGUGUAGCGGUGAAAUGCGUAGAGAUGUGGAGGAACACCGAUGGCGAAGGCAGCCUCCUGGGCCAAUACUGACGCUCAUGCACGAAAGCGUGGGGAGCAAACAGGAUUAGAUACCCUGGUAGUCCACGCCCUAAACGAUGAUGACUAGUUGUUGGAGGAGUUAAAUCCUUUAGUAACGCAGCUAACGCGAGAAGUCAUCCGCCUGGGGAGUACGGUCGCAAGAUUAAAACUCAAAGGAAUUGACGG